rnacentral:rRNA from 1 species
CCCCGGGCCAUGCCCCAGUAACGGCGAGUGAAGCGGCAAAAGCUCAAAUUUGAAAUCCUGCGGGAAUUGUAAUUUGAAGGUUUCGUGGUCUGAGUCGGCCGCGCCCAAGUCCAUUGGAACAUGGCGCCUGGGAGGGUGAGAGCCCCGUCCGGCGCACGCCGACUCUUUGCACCGCGGCUCCGACGAGUCGAGUUGUUUGGGAAUGCAGCUCUAAGUGGGUGGUAAAUUCCAUCUAAAGCUAAAUAUUGGCGAGAGACCGAUAGCGAACAAGUACAGUGAUGGAAAGAUGAAAAGCACUUUGAAAAGAGAGUGAAACAGCACGUGAAAUUGUUGAAAGGGAAGGGCUUGCAAGCAGACACGGUUUUACCGGGCCAGCGUCAAAUAAACGGGGGGGAAAAGGGGGAAAGAAUGUGGCGCGUGCCUUCGGGUUCGCGUGUUAUAGCUUUCUCUAAUACCCCCAUGUUUGUUUGAGGCCUGCGAUUCUAGGACGCUGGCGUAAUGGUUGCAAGCCGCCCGUCUUGAAACACGGACCCAA